rnacentral:rRNA from 1 species
AGGAGACUCUGAUGCAGCGAUGCCGCGUGAGUGAAGAAGGCCUUUGGGUUGUAAAGCUCUUUCGUCGGGGAAGAAAAUGACUGUACCCGAAUAAGAAGGUCCGGCUAACUUCGUGCCAGCAGCCGCGGUAAUACGAAGGGACCUAGCGUAGUUCGGAAUUACUGGGCUUAAAGAGUUCGUAGGUGGUUAAAAAAGUUGGUUGUGAAAUCCCGGAGCUUAACUCCGGAACUGCAAUCAAAACUUUUUAGCUAGAGUAUGAUAGAGGAAAGCAGAAUUUCUAGUGUAGAGGUGAAAUUCGUAGAUAUUAGAAAGAAUACCGAUUGCGAAGGCAGCUUUCUGGAUCAUUACUGACACUGAGGAACGAAAGCAUGGGUAGCGAAGAGGAUUAGAUACCCUCGUAGUCCAUGCCGUAAACGAUGUGUGUUAGACGUUGGAAAUUUAUUUUCAGUGUCGCAGGGAAACCGAUAAACACACCGCCUGGGGAGUACGACCGCAAGGUUAAAACUCAAAUGAAUUGACGGGGACCCGCACAAGUAGUGGAGCAUGUGGUUUAAUUCGAAGAUACGCGCAGAACCUUACCAACACUUGACAUGUUCGUCGCGACUCUAAGAGAUUAGAGUUUUCGGUUCGGCCGGACGAAACACAGGUGCUGCAUGGCUGUCGUCAGCUCGUGUCGUGAGAUGUUGGGUUAAGUCCCGCAACGAGCGCAACCCUCACUUUUAGUUGCCAUCAUUAAGUUGGGCACUCUGAAAGAACUGCCAGUGAUAAGCUGGAGGAAGGUGGGGAUGACGUCAAGUCCUCAUGGCCCUUACGUGUUGGGCUACACACGUGCUACAAUGGUAUCUACAACAGGAAGCAAAACUGCGAAGUUAAGCAAAUCCCUAAA